rnacentral:rRNA from 1 species
CCAUUUUAAAGAAGGAGCAGGCGCGCAAUUACCCAAUCCUGACUCAGGGAGGUAGUGACAAGAAAUAACAAUAAACCGGCUUAUGCCGGUUUAAUUGGAAUGAGUACAAUUUAAACAUCUUAACGAGGAACAAUUGGAGGGCAAGUCUGGUGCCAGCAGCCGCGGUAAUUCCAGCUCCAAUAGCGUAUACUAAAGUUGUUGCAGUUAAAAAGCUCGUAGUUGGAUUUCUGUGGGGACGGAGCGGCCGGCCGCACAUCGCGGUUCGAGCUAGCGCUUUCCCUACAUCCUGCCGCGAACCGUGCUACCAUUAGUUUGGUGGCGCCGGGGAUCGGCUCGAUUACUUUGAGAAAAAUAGAGUGUUCAAAGCAGGCCACAUGCCUUGAAUAAGUUAGCAUGGAAUAAUAACUAAGGACUUCGGUUCUAUUUUGUUGGUGUUCGGGACUGAAGUAAUGAUUGAUAGGGACAGUUGGGGCGGUCUGUAUUCCAAAGCGAGAGGUGAAAUUCUUAGACCUUCGGAAGACAAACAGCUGCGAAAGCGUUCCGCAAGGAUGUUCCCUUUGAUCAAGAACGAAAGUUGGGGGAUCGAAGACGAUCAGAUACCGUCGUAGUCUCAACUAUAAACUAUACCAGCUAGGGAUCGGCCAACGUUAUUUUAUACCGACUUGGUCGGCACCUUAUGAGAAAUCAAAGCAUCUGGGUUCCGGGGGGAGUAUGGUCGCAAGGCUGAAACCUAAAGGAAUUGACGGAAGGGCACCACCAGCCGUGGAGCCUGUGGCUUAAUUUGACUCAACACGGGAAAACUUACCAGGUCCAGACAUAGUAAGGAUUGACAGAUUGAUAGCUCUUUCUUGAUUCUGUGGGUGGUGGUGCAUGGCCGUUCUUAGUUGGUGGAGUGAUUUGUCUGGUUAAUUCCGUUAACGAACGAGACCCCAGCCUGCUAAAUAGCGCGCGUGAGCUUUGCUCGCGGCGAGCUUCUUAGAGGGACUAUGAUGCGCGAUAGCACAUGGAAGUUUGGGGCAAUAACAGGUCUGUGAUGCCCUUAGAUGUUCUGGGCCGCACACGGGCUACACUGGCGCCUGCAACGAGCAUAUCAGCUGGCCCGAGAGGGUCUUGGCUAAUCUUUUGAACCGGCGCCGUGCUUGGGAUUGACCUUUGCAAUUGUUGGUCAUGCAACGAGGAAUGCCUUGUAAACGCGGGUCAUCAGCUCGCAUUGAAUACGUCCCUGCCCUUUGUACACACCGCCCGUCGCUCCUACCGAUGAAUGUUCCGAUGAAAUUUUCGGAGAGCACCUGUGAACUUGGCUCCGCCUUGCGAACGGGAGGCUCAAAGUCAC